rnacentral:rRNA from 1 species
UUUUUGUUUGUUUUUUUGUUUAUUUUUUGUGAAAUGUUGAUAUUUUUAUUUUUUUGUUGUUAUUGAUAAAUAUUUUUUGUUGAAUUGGAUUAGUACCCAUGUAAAUAAUUUUUAUUAAUGCGGGAGUAAAUUAGUUUUUAAACCGUAAAAAUAUUGACUGAUUUUUAAUUUUUCUUUGGAAGAUGUGAAUUUUAGGAGAGCCCUCCUUGCUUGUGUAAAUUGUUGGCACAUGUAUGAUUGUUUAAUUUUUAUAAUUUUUGUUAUGUUUAAAAAUUUUGUUCUUUAUGAAAAUAGAUAUAUACUUGGUUUAUGUUUUGUUUUUCAUUUGUUACUAUAAUUUAUAUUUCGGACUAGGGUUUAAGAACUCUAUGAAGUUGGAAAAGAUAGUAAAAGUGAUUUUUAUGUUUCUUUGAAAUAAUUUAAAAUGAAUGGUACAAA